rnacentral:rRNA from 1 species
GACAGAGGUGCCGAGCGUUAGGCGGAAUCACUGGGCUUAAAGCGUGUGUAGGCGGAUGGGUAAGUACCUUGUGAAAUCCCACGGCUCAACCGUGGAACUGCUCGGUAUACUGCUCGUCUUGAGCCAACUAGGGGCGACCGGAACAAACGGUGGAGCGGUGAAAUGCGUAGAUAUCAUUUGGAACGCCAAUGGUGAAAACAGCUCGCUGGGGGUUUGCUGACGCUGAGACACGAAAGCCAGGGGAGCAAACGGG